rnacentral:lncRNA from 1 species
CAUCUCCCACAUCUCUAUCAUAGCAAGCUCUUCCUUGAUCAAAGCAAUUCUGACGAUGGCUUCAUUCUCCUUGGCUUAAGCAUCAAGAAGAGAAGACUCAAUCUUCUCGAGUCGCUGUGCAGAAUUUUCCCAACUUCGUGAGAUGCCAAAACAUAACAACCUUACUCAAACCAGACUCGAACAAUCCCAGGUCUGAGCGCACCCAAGACCUGUCAAAAAUUGAGUCAUCUGGCGUUGAGGUCAGCUAUGCAUCGCCAACUUCACUUCUCUCCAAGCUAAAGUUGAAUCCGUUCGUGGAGUUGAAAUACAUGUUCACCAGACAUAAUAGAACACCAUUGAGUCAUCUAGCCUGCUCAAAUGCGCGCAAAGAGAAGAUGUAACCAGCAAUCUUCAAAGGUUGGACUCACAAUGGCCCAGAUCCGAGCGCACCCGAAAUCUGAUUAAAAGCCAAUUGAACCACCUGAAGUGCAAAGUAAACAUCACUCAAAUAAGGUCUUAG